CCUACGGGAGGCAGCAGUGGGGAAUAUUGGGCAAUGGGCGAAAGCCUGACCCAGCGACGCCGCGUGAGUGAUGAAGGCUUUCGGGUCGUAAAGCUCUGUCAAGGGGAAAGAAGUGUAUAGUGGUUAAUACCCAUGGUACUUGACGGUACCACCUGAAGGAAGCACCGGCUAACUCCGUGCCAGCAGCCGCGGUAAUACGGAGGGUGCAAGCGUUGUUCGGAAUUAUUGGGCGUAAAGCGCGUGUAGGCGGUUUGUUAAGUCAGAUGUGAAAGCCCUGGGCUCAACCCAGGAAGUGCAUUUGAUACUGGCAGACUUGAAUACGGGAGAGGGUAGUGGAAUUCCUGGUGUAGAGGUGAAAUUCGUAGAUAUCAGGAGGAACACCGGUGGCGAAGGCGGCUACCUGGACCGAUAUUGACGCUGAGACGCGAAAGCGUGGGUAGCAAACAGGAUUAGAUACCCUGGUAGUCCACGCCGUAAACGAUGAGUACUAGGUGUUGCGGGUAUUGACCCCUGCAGUGCCGCAGCUAACGCAUUAAGUACUCCGCCUGGGAAGUACGGUCGCAAGACUAAAACUCAAAGGAAUUGACGG
rnacentral:rRNA from 1 species